rnacentral:lncRNA from 1 species
GAAUGAGACGCUCUGCCCAGCCCAGGGACUGCCACAGCGACGAUCGCACUCCCUACCACCUCCCCCAGAAACGGUUGCAUUUAGGGCGGCUUCUGCUGUCUUGAAAAUCUCCAGAUACACUGACUUCUUCCCUUCAGCCUUCUCAAUUUACUCAUCUCUCCUGCUGUCAAAAAUGUUCUCUUCCUGGCUCCCCAAGCCCCCCCCCCCUCAAUUGUUCGCCUUGCCAUUGGUCACCAUGACAACCACCUGUAUUUAAUGGGCUUAAGUCCUCUGCUCCCCCCCGCCAGCUGCACUCUGCAAACUCAGAACAUCACUCUAACCACCAGUUCCAACAGCCUCUCGUCUCCUCAGUGCCCGCCCCACUGACCCUGAGGUGUAUUUUAACAUCUCUGAGAAUCCCUUCUGCUUAAAAUGCUAAGCUGAAGGCCUGAAGCCUCCUGCUUGUAAGAAGGAAUGCCACUCUCUGCUCUCUGCCUGCCUGUCUAAAGCCUCUGCCUUCAGAAGCAAACUCAGGUUGGACCUUACCCCCACAGUCUUUCUGGUUCUCGGGCCUUGGACUUGGACUAGAAUCUCACCACGUCUCUCCAGCUUCCCACCUGCAGAUCUCAGGCCUCACACCCAUCUCCUGUACCUUCCAUCUCCGAUCUACCCUCACUGCGGCCACCUCCAAGACCUCUCACAAAAUGCAGAUCUGAUUGUAAUUUCCCCCUUCUCAGAAGCCUUUAGUGAAUCCUGAUUGCCUACAAAAUGACACCACUUAGCAGAGAGUGGGAAGAAGGUUGGCUACUCUGGACCCAAACAUCUUUGCUCCUCCCUUUACCAUCUCCACAUCGACCUCUUGGCUCAAGUCCAGGCUUCUCCAUAUCCUCACCUUCAGCUAAUUAUUCCUGGGCCUUCAGCAACCUGGAAUGCCCAGUUUCGUGGGCCUCCAAGGUUAACUUCAAGGGCUGCCUUCUCCUGGAAGCUACUGCCUUUCCCUCCUGCCCAGUGUGAAUAAACCUCUCCCUGCUCAGCACACUGUGCACACCGGCUCUAGGGCACCUAUUCUGCAGUGCAUGGAGAGUGAUCAUCCAUUGCAGGAAGACUUUGCUUUCUACAUGUCUGUUUGCUCAGCACCUGGAUCAGAAUGAGGGUCACCAAUGAGUGACAUUGAAAACCUGAUGAGGAGAGUAUGCUGGUUAAAG